GACGAACGCUGGCGGCGUGCUUAACACAUGCAAGUCGAACGGAAAGGCCCUGCUUUUGUGGGGUGCUCGAGUGGCGAACGGGUGAGUAACACGUGAGUAACCUGCCCUUGACUUUGGGAUAACUUCAGGAAACUGGGGCUAAUACCGGAUAGGAGCUCCUGCUGCAUGGUGGGGGUUGGAAAGUUUCGGCGGUUGGGGAUGGACUCGCGGCUUAUCAGCUUGUUGGUGGGGUAAUGGCUUACCAAGGCUUUGACGGGUAGCCGGCCUGCGAGGGUGACCGGCCACAUUGGGACUGAGAUACGGCCCAGACUCCUACGGGAGGCAGAAGUGGGGAAUAUUGCACAAUGGGCGGAAGCCUGAUGCAGCAACGCCGCGUGCGGGGUGACGGCCUUCGGGUUGUAAACCGCUUUCGCCUGUGACGAAGCGUGAGUGACGGUAAUGUGUAAAGAAGCACCGGCUAACUACGUG
rnacentral:rRNA from 1 species